GCAAGUUUGGCCGAGUGGUUUAAGGCGCUAGCUUCAGGUGCUAGUAUCUCCGGAUGCGUGAGUUCGAAUCUCACAGCUUGCA